AAUGCGAUCAGUAGAUUUUUUCUUUAGUAUCAGUAGCUUUUAAUUCACAAAUACUUCAGAACUCGAACUUCCGUAAGUUGUCAGAUAGUAGAUUCUCCAUUUCCCCCAUACAUUUACUGUAAUUUUUGCCGUGUUUGCCCCUCCUCCAGAUAUGAUGACGUCAGAAAUCGUGAAAAGGUCUAUUUGCGAACGACAAUUUUUUUCGUUGUGACAUUUAAAUUACAGUGCGAGAAUUGAUCAAAGACGUUUUCCUUUCACUUUUUUUUUUCGAUAAAAAGAGUGAUGCUAACCUGAUAACAAAUAAAAAAUAUAUAUCAACAAAUCAAAACAAAUUUCUCGUUAUCAUAAUAUAAUUAAAUAGUGUUAGCAACAUUAAAUACUUGAGGUUUUUGUUUUUCAUGCCCUCCUGCGGCGAACCAUAUUUAUCGAUUACUUCUUUUUGCGCUUUAGUAACUACUGCGAACAUAGUCCCUUAAUCUUGAUCUAAUGAGACGGCGGACGAAGUUUUGGAAGAUGUUUUUUUUUUUUUGCUCUCUUGAAAGGGACAACAUAUCAGUUUACAUAAGUUACCACAAGCUAAUUGCAGUUAAUUUGAUAUGUGCUUAUCAGUGGACCCAGGCUGUGAGGUUGAUUGCUUCCUUAGGUAGCCCUGUUUGUCGGAAGAAGUAGAUAAGACCAAUAAAGGAACCGCAGACCUUAUUAGAUCGUUCUCAUUGUGUAUUUUAUAUUCGAAUACCGUUUUUGAGAACACAGUGCCACAACUUUGAGGGCUUGUACAAUCGUCAAUUUUACCGUAAACAUCUUAACUUUGGAAUCACGUAUUUCAAACGGUAUAUAUCAUAAAUAUCGGAAAACAAUUUUACUUCAUAGGCACUAAUAUUAUUCACAGCAAGAAACGCGAGGAUAACAGCCGCACCACACCGGGAUUGUGGGAGAUUCUAAUCGAUUUUAAGAUUACUUGUUAGCCUGCAAAUUUGACGUUGGUUUUGCUCCCCGCGCGUACCUUGUUUGUGUACUUUUCAAUUGAGGUUGCGGACGUCCAUACGGAACUUGUCCUAAGAAAUUAAAGCCUAUUGUUUUAAUUUCAUUUUUUAUAUUCGCUAUUUAUUUCCCCCUUUUUUUUUCUGUAUUUCCAGAAUGCAUUACGGCUGCCAUGAAAACCAAAGUGACAAACGCGCCGCAACAUUAUGCCUUAUUUUAUUUUAUUAUUAAUUUUUUUUUGUUUGAUUGCGGACUUCGUUGACGUAUCGCACCUGUUGCGAAGGCCACGUGUCCGGCUAUAUCUAUAUUUACCUUGACCACAAAUUGAGUGGGAGAUAGAACUAUAAAAGGAGAAAAGAAGAGUGUUGUUCUUCAGCUGCUCGCCAAAGGAGUUGGUCGUUUGCUCUUGAACCUUGACAAUUGACCUCAGCCAUGUUUAAAUUGUGUUUUUUCCUAGCUGUUCUUUUCGUACCAAUUCUGUUGUCAUACCAUGCCACAGCCCUCGUCGAGAGCCGAGACAAAUCUGCAGACAUCUCCUUUGGGGAUUGUAUGGAUCUCAAACCCCGGUUGUGCAAGCUUAUACGAUCCCGCUGUUUAAAACCAAGAUACAUUGCUUUCCUUUACACGAACUGCAGGAAGACUUGCACCUUUUGUUAAAAACGUUAAUUGUCAGGCUUCACCGAUCCCGAUAUGCAAUCUGGAUAAACUCAACCCUGAAGUAUUGGAGGACAAACAAGAAGGGGCUGUUCACUGAAAUUUCAGAAAACAAAUAUCGUGUAUUAAAACUUUAAACAAAUUUGUGGUCGUUUGUGUUCAAUUUUUGAAAAUGAAAAACACGAUUGAAAGCUGCCUUCUUCUGUCAACCUUUUUAUUUUCAACCUGGCGAAUGAAUAUAUUGGGAUUUCAUUUCAAACAAAAAUAGUAGUUCCGAGUGUAGAAUGUGAAAAGGGUUAAAGAACAAUACAUUACAGGCACUGACGAAUGCUUAUAAGGCUCUUAAACCUAAUGA